GCUACUGCUGCGCCCGACUGCACGCAAGGCUUCAGUAUUAGCGAACACUAUCAGAAGAAACAGAAGAAUGUAGCAAGAGGAAUGAAUCUUAACCAUACCAUCGAAUCUGACUAGCACUAUGCAUCAACAGACAUAUUUAGGAGACAAAAUAUCUAUGAAUUCUGGAAAAUAACUCAUUUUCAACUAGAGGUCAAAAUGGCAACAAAUGUCUUUUAAUUUUCUUUGAGAAGGCAUCUUCCUAGUUGGACAUCAGUAGAUUUACACAGAAGUGACCUCUGACUUACAGUUGGAGCUGAGGUAUGUUUAGACAAUGUCUUGUUCAAGACAUUCUUUUUUGACAAUUUCCUUGAACAAACUGUUCUUUUUUUGUGGUGUUGUUUAUUUUGCUUUGUUUGGUUUAAAGAUAAUAUCUCUUAUCAUUAAAUCUUUACAGUCCUUCUUUCAGAUCCUGAACCAUACUGGUGUGCUUAAGAUGACAAAAUUAGACACCAUAUGCUGUGGUUUAAUGUGGCAUGUAGCUCAGCACCCACAGACAUUCACUUGCCCCCUUCUCCCAGUGGGGUGGGGAGAGAACUGAGAGAGAACUAAGUAGAAUUCAUGGGUUCAGAUAAAAACUGCUGAAACCAGGACAGUGAUAAUUUUUCAGUGAGUCAAGCCUUUUUUUUUUUUUUUUUUUUUUGUUCUGUUAAACAUCUGUUUAAUGAGAUACAGAGAAGAAUUGGAAAAAAAUUGCAUUUAAAGUAAAAAGCAAGUAACAAAAUCUCAUUAGCUCUCUGGCAUAUCAAGAGACAUUAAUUAUGUAUAUAGAUCAGUGCACAAAUUAAUACUGUAAGAGAUCCAUAAAUGUUGAGAUGUUGCAUGAUUGUCACUAUUUUUGACAAUGUGGCCUUUCAUAUAUUUACCUCAAUAGCUGAAGAAUCAUUAAAAUCUAUGUUUUUUUUCUUUUCCCAGGGAGAAGAAAGAGGGAGAGAUAAGAGAGAAGAUUGAUUUUCUGUAGGUUACACAUUACAUUUUUGAGAGAAAAUUUUGUUCCUGAAUAUGCUUUUUUUUUUCAAUAAUACCUUUUUCCGUUAAUGUCAUAAGCAAUAAAAUUUGAUCUGAAAAGUUAAAAACUUCCCCUCUUCUACGUUCAGCUAAUUAUUUUAAUUGUAAUAAUUCAUUUAUUCGGUAAUAAGAGUAUGGGAGUUUGGCAAAGGUUUUCUUCAUUUAUUCUGUGAUAAGCAAUCACAUUCAUAUAUCAUGUGAUGCUACUUCAGGUUGUUUUAUGAAAAGGUUCUAAAAGUUCAGCAUAUAAAACAAAUAAUACUUAGCAGCCAAUUUAAUGUAAUGAAGAACUGCAAAUGCUUAUGAGAAGCUUUACUGAAAAUCUUUCUUUUGCUUGAGAUACUGCCUGCUAUCAUGUGCUUUUGCACAUGUCCUUCUGACUCAUUAUAUUCAGGAGGCAGAAAUCUCACCAUUUCCAAUGGUAGAAAAUGCUUGGGCUCUGUCUUUUCAACCUAUGAUUUUUGCUUGUCUAGGAGGUUUGAUGACAAAAUGGCUAUGUUAACAUCUUUCUUAAUUUGAUUCCUGAGGGGUUAAGGAAAACUUCAUGGAAUGUCAUUAUUCCCUUAAAGAUACACGUUUUGUUGGACUGACAAAGUGGUUUGAUUCCAAAUAAGCACUUUUUGCUAGAAAAAUUGGACAUCAUCAUUAAAAGACAGUGCCAUCUUAAUGGUUUAUUUUUAUUUUCUUCUGAUCUUUUUAACCGAAGUCAAAAUAACUACUUUAAGAAAUUAUCUAAUAUUAAGACCUUGUGUAAAAUUCUUUUUAUUUCAGUUAACAAUGUCUAACUCAUAAAACUGUCUUACUCUCAGUUUUUCUUCUUUAUUAUGGGCCAAGCUCAUUUACUCGCAGGUUUUAUUUGGAGAUAAUCAAAUAAUUCCCUUGGAAAGAGACAAAACAAUUUUUCUUUUGCCUUCAGGUGGAUACUAUAGAUGCAUAUGGAUGUCUUCAGCCACAAGCAUUCUUCAGCUCCUUCUUGGACAGUCUUUUUCCACUGUUGCCUUUAGGGAUUGCUCUAAAAGGCAGUACUCUCCUUCUCUUUAGACAACAUAAUUUUUGCUUCCUUUUUGAAUAAUGAGCCUUUAAAAUUAUCAGUGUCACUAUCAAGGAUUUGAAACCUACAUCUGUAUGACUAGUUAGCUUAUUGACUGUUGGCAGUUACUGCUAUGGCAUUCUGCUAUGAUAUGCAAAAAUGAUGCUUGUUUGACUUUUUUUUUCUUUUAUAUCUUUAGCUUCCAUUAUAGUUUCCAUUGCCUUUUAGCAGUACUAUUCUGC
ensembl:lncRNA